GAUCCCCAAAUUGAUAAUCUCAGAAAAAUCUUCCGGAAUCCCUGUGCCGUGAUCAUCAGUUUGGAAUUGAAUCAUAGAUGGAGCCUGAGUUCGAUUUGGAGGGUCUGUAUAGUUGCAUGUAUUUUCCGACUUGGUUCUGCACCUCGUUCAAUCGAAAGAACACAUUGGCUUGUGGUCAAAACGACUUUGAGCAGAGCCUUGAGGUAUUGCUGGACAUUUAGCAGAGCAAGGCCGACGUUGUUAGGAUUUGGGGAGCCGAAGGUUGCUGCCAAUCCUGCCAUAAGGACAAGUUUCAGAGAUGCUGCACCGGCAUGGCCCUUGGAGACUACUAGACAUCACACAAGAGGCUGGCAUCUUGACACAUCCUUUGGGGAUUGAUGUGGUUGAAUCACAGCAGGUUGUGAGCAUUGACAUUUGUUGUGAGCACUUUGGUGGCAGCUUCAUUGAGUGACAUCUUUAAUGCAGUGAAGAGCCUUUUGAGGCACCGGUUUGAAGAUUGCAUGUGAAGCUUCUCCAGGUGAGCUUUGUUGCAACAUUUACUCUCUUUGAAGAUUGCAUGUGAACCUUCUCCAGGUGAGUUUUGUUGCAACAUUUACUCUCGUCGUUGAUACCAGAGGUACCGUAAGUGAAGUGAAAUGUGGCUUCUGGCAUUUGAGCAUGUUGGUGGGAUUGGAUGAGAGGCCAGACUCGGAAGUGAAGUGAAAUAAGGCUGGCUGGAGUAAUUCUUUACCUUUCCUCUUGUGCUUCUGCUUCUUCUUCUUUGGUGCUGUCGAUCUCUUCCCUUUGAGCAAAACCUAAAAAAUGAACAAUACUUGACCAUAAGUCCAUAACAAUCGCUAGCAAACCCAACCCAAUUCAGAAGACCACAUAACAACACCACCACCUUCUCGCCAGAUUCAUUUUCGUCGCACCGGCAGCAGCUUCACCGCAACACCACCCAAUUGCUAGGCGUCCCCCCAACCUUCUAUCAUCCACAAUCGUCUAGCAAGGAGCGUUGACCCUCCCAAUCAUUAUCCACCUCCUCCGAUCUAAUCCGGCUGCGUCAGAACCCAAUCACGCCGCCGCGUACUACAUCAUCCACCGACCACACAUCCUUAGUGUGGAUGAGGAAUUGAGGGCCGAAGCCUGGAAGUUCUGAGGUUCCCAAAAAAUUUUGAUUUUCGACAGUUGAGUAGAGGGAGAACUUUUUUUGAUGGUGAAGUUGAAAGUAUGUUUAGGACCUAUUUACUGGUAUUUCUUUGUUUCUGCGUUAAACAGUUUGCAAGAACAACAAAAGAAGAACAAGAACACCAGAUUUAACUAUAGCGUAAACCUUCCACCAGGAAACAUCACUGCGAGACUUUAUAGUAGUCCACACUUAAAACAAUCCACUAAUAGCAAAUAGAUAUACAGUAUCUAUCAAGCAAUGAAGUAUGAAACUUUCACGUUUACUAGCAUACAAACUAGCUUGAUCUUUUACAACUGAUCUUCCUAUUCUACAAGCAAUGGAUCCAGCCUUGAACAGAUGAACUAAGCCCUCCUUGUUUGCCAAAACACUGAUCUCGAUCACAA